CACAAGAGGCCCAAAUUAACCGUAUACACGGCGUAAAGAGUGGUACCAUGCUAUCCCAUCAACUAGGAUCAAAGUGCAACUGAGCUGUCGUAAGCCCAAGAUGCAUUAAAAGCCACCCUCAAGACGAUCUUAGCACCCCCGAUCAAUUGAACCCCACGAAAGCUGGGACACAAACUGGGAUUAGAUACCCCACUAUGCCCAGCCCUAAAUCUUGAUGCUUACCCCACUGAAGCAUCCGCCUGAGAACUACGAGCACAAACGCUUAAAACUCUAAGGACUUGGCGGUGCCCCAAACCCACCUAGAGGAGCCUGUUCUGUAAUCGAUAACCCACGAUACACCCAACCGUCCCUUGCCACAGCAGCCUACAUACCGCCGUCGCCAGCUCACCUCUACCUGAGAGUGCAACAGUGAGCACAAUAGCCCUACGCCGCUAACAAGACAGGUCAAGGUAUAGCUCAUGGGGCGGAAGAAAUGGGCUACAUUUUCUAAGAUAGAAAACACGAAAAGGGGUAUGAAACUACCCCUGGAAGGCGGAUUUAGCAGUAAAGCGGGACAAUAAAGCCCCCUUUAAGUCGGCCCUGGAGCACGUACAUACCGCCCGUCACCCUCCUCAUAAGCCCCUAUUGCUCAUAACUAAUACACCUACCAGCUGAAGAUGAGGUAAGUCGUAACAA
rnacentral:rRNA from 1 species